CGAUGACGUGGGCGAAGCCUGUCCGCCUUCCGCGUGAGUGAAGAAGGCCUUCGGGUUGUAAAGCUCUUUCGCAAGGGAAGAAACGAUGCAGUCGAAUAAACUGUGUUAAUGACGGUACCUUGAUAAGAAGCACCGGCUGACUGCGUGCCAGCAGCCGCGGUAAUACGUAGGGUGCGAGCGUUAAUCGGAAUUACUGGGCGUAAAGCGUGCGCAGGCGGUUAUGUAAGACAGUUGUGAAAUCCCCGGGCUCAACCUGGGAAUUGCAUCUGUGACUGCAUAGCUAGAGUACGGUAGAGGGGGAUGGAAUUCCGCGUGUAGCAGUGAAAUGCGUAGAUAUGCGGAGGAACACCGAUGGCGAAGGCAAUCCCCUGGACCUGUACUGACGCUCAUGCACGAAAG
rnacentral:rRNA from 1 species